rnacentral:rRNA from 1 species
AUGAAUGCCCCUGACCGCUAUGAGCGCUUCGUCGUGCCUGAGGGCACGAAGAAGGUAUCAUUUGAGAAGGAUACAAAGAUCAUGAAUGCUGCAUCUUUCACUAUUGAACGUGAGGACCACACCAUCGGGAACAUCCUCCGCAUGCAGCUGCACAGGGACCCAAAUGUUCACUUUGCUGGCUAUAAGCUCCCUCACCCCCUUCAGUACAAGAUCAUUGUUAGGAUCCAUACUGCAAGCCAAUCCUCCCCAACUCAGGCAUAUACCCAGGCAAUCAAUGAUCUAGACAAGGAGCUUGAGAACCUGAAGCAAGCUUUUGAGGAUGAGAAGACCCGAUUCGAGGAAAGGAUGAAGCAGGGCUACUAG